CCUACGGGAGGCAGCAGUGAGGAAUAUUGGUCAAUGGGCGCGAGCCUGAACCAGCCAAGUCGCGUGAGGGAAGACGGUCCUAUGGAUUGUAAACCUCUUUUGUCGGGGAGCAAAAGACGCCACGCGUGGCGUUCCGAGAGUACCCGAAGAAAAAGCAUCGGCUAACUCCGUGCCAGCAGCCGCGGUAAUACGGAGGAUGCGAGCGUUAUCCGGAUUUAUUGGGUUUAAAGGGUGCGCAGGCGGAAGAUCAAGUCAGCGGUAAAAUUGAGAAGCUCAACCUCGUCGAGCCGUUGAAACUGGUUUUCUUGAGUGAGCGCUUGGUCGGCGGAAUGCGUGGUGUAGCGGU
rnacentral:rRNA from 1 species